GAUGAAGAACGCAGCGAAAUGCGAUAAGUAAUGUGAAUUGCAGAAUUCAGUGAAUCAUCGAAUCUUUGAACGCACAUUGCGCUCGCCAGUAUUCUGGCGAGCAUGCCUGUUCGAGCGUCAUUUCAACCAUCAAGCUCUGCUUGCGUUGGGGAUCCGCGGCUGCCCGCGGUCCCUCAAAAACAGUGGCGGGCUCGCUAGUCACACCGAGCGUAGUAACUCUACAUCGUUCUGGUCGUGCGGCGGGUUCUUGCCGUAAAACCCCCCAAUUUCUAAGGUUGACCUCGGAUCAGGUAGGAAUACCCGCUGAACUUAAGCAUAUCAAUAAGCGGAGGA
rnacentral:misc_RNA from 1 species